rnacentral:rRNA from 1 species
CACCGCCCGUCACACCAUGAGAGCUGGCUCAACCAGAAGUCGUAACUCUUAACCGCAAGGAGAGAGGCGCCGAAGGUGGGGCUAGUGAUUGGGGUG